GGCCGAUGACGCUCACGGCCAGACCCCGGCCAGGCCACACCCCCAGAAAACCGCGGGCCAGCCACCCUACCUGGCAGGGCGUGCAGCCUAGACCUGGUCACACCCUAGUGUGCCUUCCCUCUGAAACCUCAGUGGGACCACCUCCCUCCAGACACCGCCACCUGCUGCUCUGGCCCCUCCAUCUGUGUGAAAGGCACUGCCGCCGCUGAGACGAAAAUACACCCAUGGAACAGAACACCAACGAACCAUAUGCCAAAAUAGGAAGGCUGGAUCUAUCUGUCAGAGGAGUUAAUUCAAUGUCGGCGUCUCUUGCUGUGAAUGAAGAGCCAGGGGCCCAGCUCUGGGCCUGGCAAGAGCCACAUGAGAGCCAUCAAGCACCCUGAAGCAGGGGGCUGGGGUCCUCAAGAGCCUGCCUGGGCGAGACGCCCUCACUCCUGGCAGACGCUGGGCAGACACCAGCGUUUCCCAGGCAGGCUGAGCACGUUUGCUCCUGGAGGAGCUGGGAAGUGAGGGCACCCCCCGCUGCCCCAGGGAGGCCCCAAAGCCACAGCCCUCCCUGCUGAGCCCCCACUGUUCCGUGUCUCAAAGGGAGAGAACCCCCACCCGAAGCAGCUGCUGCUUCUGGGGGCAGAAGGCCCCGUUCUGCCUCCGCUGCCGAAUGAUGCUUUAGGAAACUCUGGAAGCAUCAAGAGCGGCUUUUGGAUAGAGAACAAAAGUCGACACUCAGUGUCUCAGGCUCAGUGUGUAAUGACCAAAUUACCACGGUCUAAAAACUCCUCCAAUUGCAUCCAAAUUAGCAGAAAUAAUUAUGAUUCAGUUUAAUUAGUGACUAUGGAAGUGAAGCCACAGGCUGGUGGGCAGAGAGCCUGGCAUGGCAGCUGCAUGACAGCCAGGAGGGAGGGGUGUCCAGGCCAGUGAAGCUGGUGGCCUCAGCAACACCGGCGUGGGAAUGGGCCAGGGGACUGGGAGUCCUGUCUCUCUGCCUACUGCACUUGCUCCAUGCUAGUCUCACUGCUCCCUGGGAACCGAGAGGGUCCCUUCCUCCUCCUUUUCCUCUCCUUAUCAUGGCCACCACUGCCACAGCCACUAGUGCCUCCUGGCCUAUCAGAGGCCUCACUGCUCUGGUCCACUCCCACCCUGUCCCCAUUUUGCAUAUGGGGAAAUGGUGGCUCAGAGAUCUGAGGACCUGGCCCAAGAUUACCCAGCUCGGUCUGUCUGUGCCCAGAGCUGUGGUUCUUGUCCCUACGUUUGUGUUUCCCUUGUCCCCAAGUG